rnacentral:ncRNA from 1 species
CACCCGGGGAGCUCGGGACAGCCGGGCUGAGAGGGCGACCGGACGCGUCGCCGACCCGCGGAACCUGAGCUGGGUAAUGCCAGCGGAGGGAGGUGCGUAC